UCAAGUCUGCUGUUAAAGGCUGGAGCUUAACUCCGGUAGAGCAGUGGAAACUGGUGUGCUAGAGGGCGACAGGGGUAGAGGGAAUUCCCAGUGUAGCGGUGAAAUGCGUAGAGAUUGGGAAGAACACCGGUGGCGAAAGCGCUCUACUGGGUCGCACCUGACCCUCAGGGACGAAAGCUAAGGUAGCGAAAGGGAUUAGAUACCCCUGUAGUCUUAGCCGUAAACGAUGGAUACUAGGCGUGGUUUGUAUCGACCCAAGCCGUGCCGAAGCUAACGCGUUAAGUAUCCCGCCUGGGGAGUACGCACGCAAGUGUGAAACUCAAAGGAAUUGACGGGGGCCCGCACAAGCGGUGGAGGAUGUGGUUUAAUUCGAUGCAACGCGAAGAACCUUACCAGGGCUUGACAUCCCGCGAAUCCCCAUGAAAGUGGGGAGUGCCUUCGGGAGCGCGGAGACAGGUGGUGCAUGGCUGUCGUCAGCUCGUGUCGUGAGAUGUUGGGUUAAGUCCCGCAACGAGCGCAACCCUCGUCCUUAGUUGCCAGCAUUAAGUUGGGCACUCUAGGGAGACUGCCGGUGACAAACCGGAGGAAGGUGAGGAUGACGUCAAGUCAGCAUGCCCCUUAUGCUCUGGGCAACACACGUCCUACAAUGGUCGGGACAAAGGGGAGCGAGCUCGCGAGAGUCAGCGAAUCCCAGCAAACUCGGCCUCAGUUCAGAUGGCAGGCUGCA
rnacentral:rRNA from 1 species